CAGUAGCCGCGGUAAUACGGAGGAUCCGAGCGUUAUCCGGAAUCAUUGGGUUUAAAGGGUCCGUAGGCGGUUUAGUAAGUCAGUGGUGAAAGCCCAUCGCUCAACGGUGGAACGGCCAUUGAUACUGCUGAACUUGAAUUAUUAGGAAGUAACUAGAAUAUGUAGUGUAGCGGUGAAAUGCUUAGAGAUUACAUGGAAUACCAAUUGCGAAGGCAGGUUACUACUAAUUGAUUGACGCUGAUGGACGAAAGCGUGGGGAGCGAACAGGAUUAGAUACCCCCGUAGUCCCUGUCUCUUAUAC
rnacentral:rRNA from 1 species